UGACACACUUCGGAAAAAUGAUUCCCAACCUGUGGCCCUCCAGGAUGUACCCAAUUCGAGCUGUGAAAUUGCUGUUGUUCAGAAAUAAAGACAUGCAUUGAAGAUUCUAUAUUGGUAGCUGUGUGGCCUGUAUAAGUCUUUACCUGCCUGAUGUUCCAUUUCUUCAUCUAUAAAAUGAACGAUUCAACUCUUGGCUAUUACACGGAUAUGGUUUUCUAACAUAUUCAUGUCCUCUGUGAAUAGUGACAUUUUUUCCAUGCUAAUCCUUGUAUCUUAUUUGUCCUUGCCUUAUGACAUUGGCUAAGAUUUCCACUAAAAUGCUGUAGAGAGAUGAUUUCACCAAGCAUUCUUGUCUUGUUUGUGACUUAACAGGGAAGGCUUUCAGUACUUUGCCAUAGAGUAUGAUGUGUGCUAUAGGUUUUUUCAAAUCAGGUUUAAGGUAUUUCCUUUUAGGGCAGCCCAAGUGGCUCAGCAGUUUAGCAACGCCUUCAGCCCAGGGCCUGAUCCAGGAAACCUGGGAUCAAGUCCCACAUCAGGCUCCCUGCAUGGAGUCUGCUUCUCCCUCUGCCUGUGUUUCUGCCCCCCCCCCUCUCUCUCUCUCUCUCUCUGUCUCUCGUGAGUAAAUAAAUCUUUAAAAAAU